GGCAGAUGGUCAUCACCAAGUGGAUCUGGGAAAACAAUUGAUUUAUAUGAAUCUGAACAGAAAUUUAGCACCACAUGGUACUCAAGCAAGCAGUGUUACGUUCGUUAGUGCUUCAAGGUGAUUCUCAGACUACGGAAAUAGUAAGGAAUAAACUAAACUAAUCGCAAACAAUAAACACGACGAAAAUAGCAUGUACGUUGAAGUAUCUCAGCAACCGGGAUCGUUGCAGUCGCAGAAUGCUAGUGACUUGCUGCCAACAAGUUUAGUAAGUGAAAGCCCCCUAGACUAAGCAACCGGGCCUAAACCAUACCUGGAUGAGUCGGAACUCAGCCUAAGGAGAAAAGAUAUUGCGAAAACAGUUGUGACAAGUGAUAUAAGCGAUAAUGUGGUUGCUCAAGCAAGUGAAGGAUCUAUAGUGAAACUAUGUAAUUAUAUGUGUAAACAGAGAACUUGCUGCUGAGUUUGAAGGUAUGAAGUUGGAUUUAACAAUACUACAAGCGCAAAGAGGCUGUGAGGGCCCUAUUUCUGGUAAUCGACCGAAGUCUGCAAUUGAAUCGCUGCAGGAAAAAUAUUAAGAAAUUGUAAACAUCAUUGAAGUUCAAGCUGAAGUCACUAGUGAGCUUAAACAAGAAAAUUUGUUAUUUAAAUCGGGUUUGAGUAGUUGGAAAUUUUAUUCAAUCUACUUUAAAUCCUCCAUGUAUUUAUUUGUGACAAAUCGAACAAUAGCUAAGUGUACCUGCGAAUGUAAAUAAGGAACUACCAACAAACACGUUAAAAGAGAGCAUUUUGCAAAAUUCCAAAGCGCCCGCCGUUGCAUCGAACAAUAGGCACGAUGAGGUAAAUAGUUAUUCAGUGUUGUGCUUACGAAUUUAAAUAAACAAUCAUCACCAAACCAUUAAAAGAGAACAGUUUAAUUGCACAAAAUCUCAAAGCGCUCGCCACAAUAGCUAUGAUGAAGC